rnacentral:lncRNA from 1 species
AAUCCCUUCACCAGCAUGAGGCCUUCUACGGUCCCAGGCUUUCUGCUGCAUACACUGAAGGGCCACGAAGUACAGUCAUCUGGACUUGGCACCUGGAAUACAAGGAUGGAAAGCAUCAUUUCUGCCAGCUUCUUAUGGUCCUGAGGCGAGACAGUCAUGAGAGAGGAAAACUGCAAUGACUUCUGACCACUGCCAGCCUCGCUUCCUGCAUUUUCUUCUUCGGCUUACUCUUGCCAAGUUGGAGUUGCCUAACUUCCAAGAGGUGGACCCAUAGGGGACCCAAAGGGACCCAUAGACUCCCAGAGACCUGGAGGAUGCAGGUAUCAUGUGGUCAUUGCCACAGAACCAUGAUGUGUUAGGAAGAUGGCAGAAGACUGUGGAAGAUGUGCAUUUUUUUAAAUAACAAGGACAGGAAACUCAGGGAAUAUCUGGAUAAAGCAGGGAUUGGCCUGGGAUGUUCCAGAUGAAGACAGGGCUGCAGGCUUGCCAAAGGACCCCCCCGUGGGGAUGGUGGUCCUUUGGAUCAAGUUGUGGUCCAGGUACAAGAGGCACAUCAUCAGGAUUCUCCCCACAGUGGAGGCCUCCAGGAGGCCUUCCUGCACUGGACGCCAGCCUCCUCCCCGCCUGUCCACUCCUGCCUGUCCAUCAGCGCCACUCUGUGAGUGUGACCCUCGAAUCAGACACAGCAUUCUAGUGUCUUUUUUUUUUUUUUUUUUCUGAGAUGGAGUCUUGCUCUGUCACCCAGGCUGGAGUACAAUGGCGCAAUCUCGGCUCACUGCAAUCUCCACCUCCUGGGUUCAAGCAAUUCUCCUGUCUCAGCCUCCUGAGUUGCUGGGACUACAGGUGUGCACCACCAUACCCGGCUAAUUUUUGUAUUUUUAGUAGAGAUGAGGUUUCACCAUAUUGGUCAGGCUGGUCUCAAACUCCUGACCUCAGGUGAUCCACCAGCCUCGGCCUCCCAGAGUACUGGGAUUACAGGUGUGAGCCACUGUGCCUGGCCCCAGUUCUUAUUUUCUAGGUUUAGUGAUCUUGUCUCAGAUGAAGAGGUAAUUACAUCUACACUGGAGGACACUGAAGACUUUCCUAGCUCUCAGAUUCUAUGCUUCAUUGUGUAAGAAUGUGUAUAACCGGGUGGUAAGUAGCUGGGGUUGGAGACUAGCAAUUGGAAAUUGGAUAAUACCUUCUUUAGCUGUUUAGAGUUUUGCUGGAGCUGUUUCACUUUAGAAAUUAGGGUUGAUGUUUCUGUGGUUGGAAUGGAAAGUAUGUUUCUGUCUCUGUUGAAGAGGAGGCUCUCUUCAUGUGCCAUUUAUCCUUUCUAACACCUGCCAGCUGAGCUGUAAAGGGAGCUCCACAGGGUUAGCUUUCCAAGGGUUGACAGAUGUCAGUUUUCACAUCAUGCUGUUCAUGAGACAUUUCACAGCAGCAGGACUUUAAACAAUGUUAAAAAAUAUUCUCCUUGGCAUUAUCCAGGGCUACAGAUCACUUUCUUAUUUUAUCUCUGCAGACCAGAGAGAGGUUCUUCUUUUGACUUACAUCACCAUCUUAAAAAACAGCACUAUUACCCAAAGGACAAAUUAGCAGAGAAGAGGAAUGAGUUGUGCACAUUGGCACUGUGUCAACUUGGAACGAAGGGGAGCACGGAUAUUGUUCACAAUAUACCCCAAACCAAAUCGUCAUUAAAAACAAAAGCCAUGGCCGGGCAUGGUGGCUCACGCCUGUAAUCCCAGCACUUUGGGAGGCCAAGGCAGGCAGAUCACAAGGUCAGGAGAUCGAGACCAUCCUGGCUAACACGGUGAAACCCCGUCUCUACUAAAAAAAAUACAAAAAAUUAGAUGGGUGUGGUGGCAGGUGCCUGUAGUCCCAGCUACUUGGGAGGCUGAGGCAGGAGAAUGGUGUGAACCCGGGAGGUGGAGCUUGCAAUGAGACCAGACGAGAUCAAGCCGCUGCACUCCAGCCUAGGCCACAGAGCGAGACUCCUUCUCAAAAAAAAAGAAAAAAAAAAGCACCAAAAGAAAAAAAGCCAUGUAAUCAGUCAAAUAAGAUGUCAUUACUUUGGGGAUUUAUAUAUAUUUAAUCCUAAGCUAACUAACGCAGAAACAGAAAAGUGCUGCAUGUUCUAACUGGGUGCUCAUGGACGUAAAGCUGUCAACAACAGAUACUGGGGAUUCCUACAGCAGGGAAGGAGGGAGGGGGAAUGCAUUGAAACACUAACUAUUGGGUACUUUGCUCAGUACCUGGGUGACAGGAUCUAUACUCCCAAACUUCAGCAUCAUGCCAUAUACCCAUGUAACAAACCUGCACAUGUACCCCCAGAAUCUAAAAUAAAUGUUGAAAUUAUGUAAUAAUAAUCAUUUAAAUGUUAGCCCAUGAGAUGGUGAAAUAUUGUUACCAAGACAACUUUGACAAAGUGGGAGUGCACUGACCAGAAGCAGAUCAUGCGAUGGUGAGGAUAUAGGCUGCCUCCCUUCCAAUUUCAGAAGGAAACACGGACGUGGGACCAGCUGCACUCAGGCCAGCAGGGUACUUGUCCUUCUUACAACCACACAUAUUGUGAAUUUGUAUAGCAGUUAACAUUGCUGAAGCCCUCUCAGGAAUAUAUGUCAUGGUCCUUUGAACUGAUAGGCGUGGUGUUUAACCAUGUCUGUAGCACCUAUAAACUUGAUACUUUAACAUCUGCCUCUGUGAUGAUACCCGACGCCUUGUUCUGGACAGCCUGAGUCACCUUGUCUUGGCCUCCCGCCUCCCUCAUCACCACCCUCCACAUCAAGAGGAGUCCUUCUCCUGAAGUGUGCUUUUCAAAGGCAAACCACCUAAUCCAGAGUCUGCACCCCCAACCACCUCCCUUAUCUGGCUCUCACACUCUGAACCACCAUCCCCCUGCCGUUAUCACCAUACCAGAUACCAGAUAGCCCCUGGAAUUAUUUAAACUAGCCCAUCCUGAGCUUGUUUGCCCUACCUCCCGUUGCUUCCCUUGGAAACCAUAAUAAAGGCUCUUGCCCACAGUGACCUCUUCCACCGCCUUCUCAGCGACCCUGGGGAGUCCCCAUGUGGCCCUGUGGUGUGAUGCACGUUCCCUCUCUUGGGAUCUGUGAGUUUAAUGCACAAUCUUUUCAAUGGUAGUUGUCCCCUGAUCUGUUGGCUUCACCACACCUGAAAAAAAUAAUGAAACCUAUCAAAAUACAGGCUAUGAGGCAGAGGAUCUGAUGCCUGCAAGAUGAGAGACCCUGACAGUUUUUUCUAGCUCCUAGCCCUAAGCUUCUCCCCUGCAUGAUAUUCUAGUGAGAUAUGGGGUGGAAUGACAGAAAGAAAUCCAGCUUGGGUUGUAUGUAUGUACCUUUGACAUUGCAUGGGAGCUCUUUGCCUACCUGUCUUGCUUGGGCAUUUCCAGUCCUUCCUCUGGGCAUUCUCAAUAGCAGUGGAAUUUUUAAUUGGGAAAAUGGGGAUUACUUCAUUGGGAAAUGAAGUAAUAUGACAUAUUAUUUAAAAAAAAGCCACAUUACUUCAUUUCCCAAUUAUAAAUAGACCCUUCACCAUGGAUCUGCCAUUUGCAACUUCCAUGACAUUGCAAGUGUUUGAGUUCAAAUUCAUUUUCUGCAAACCACGACCAUGUUUGUCUGUUGCACAGCUGUAUUCCCAGGCUUAGCAUAUCUGGCGCAGUUAGUGCAGGCUAGAUAUCAGUUAACUGAAUGAAUAAAUAAACCACCCAACUACUAAAUCAGGUUGUCUCAAACUCAUCCAAAAGUUUAUAUGGGUUGAGUGUAACAAACUUCAUGGGUUUCUGUGGUAGGCUGAAUAAUCAUUCCUCCUAAAAGAUAUCCACAUUCAAAUUCCUGGAAUCUGUGUGUAUUACCUUAUAUGGCAGAAAGGGUCUUUGCAGAUGUGAUUAAGAAUCUUGAGAUGGGGAGAUUAUCCUAGAUUAUUUGGGGGACCCUAAAUCCAAUCACAAGCAUCUGUGAGAGAUGCAGAGGGAGAUGACAUGCACGGAGGCAAAGGAGGCAGCGUGAGCAGGAGCCAGAGAUUGGAGUGUUGUGUCCACCACUAUGGAAGCUUGACAAGGAAUUUUUCUGCAGAGCCCCCAGAGGGAGUAUGGUCCUGAUGACAUCUGGGUUUUGGGUUUCUGGCCUCAAAAACUAUGAGAAUAAAUGUCUGUUGUUUUAAGCUCCUACCUGUGUCAUAAUUUGUUAUAUGUGACUCAGGAAACUGAAAGUUUCCGAGGGAAAUUGAUGGGUAUUUCUCUCUGGAGAAUUCUAAAAAGAGAGACUCCCUGGUCAUGUCCUGUAGUGGCCGGAUAGUAGAAACUAGAUUUGGUGGUCUGUUGGUGUUCCUUUCCAAUAAUUCUUCUUGGAUUCUUUGAGAAGUGUGAUGACUUGGCUUCAUUUUCUGUCCUCAUGUAAGUGACUUAGGUAAGGUUAGAUGAGAAGAAGAGCACAGGUGUGUUUAGGUCGACCUACACCCCCCAGAUAAUUAGGAUACUUCAACUCCUGUUGUUCUUAGUCCAUUCUUGUACUUGCCAGUCCAUGUUACUUAGAAAAAAGCGAAGGGAGUCUUUGAGGUUUAUGUUCUACCAUUACACAGGGAUUGCAUUUCUUUCUCUAUCGAGUUAGGACUGGAAAAGAUACUUCAAGAGAAUUUUUGAAUUCAAUAGGAUGACCUUUGAAGGUAAAGAAUAUGUAAAGUGGAUUUCUAAUGAAAUCUUAUUCAAUCCCGGUGAAGAUAUUAACAUUUUGUUUUGUGUAGUAUUUUCCUGCUUUAUUUUUUGUCAGUUAAUUUAUUAAGAGGCCACUGACACUUUUUUCAUUUUAUUUUUUUAAAUCUACCCAAACAAGGUGAUCAGAAGCUUCUAAAAUCUUAAUAAACACCUGAUUCUUAAAUGUGAAAUGAACUUAGAGAAAGGAUAUAGCAUACAUCAUCUAAUUAUUUAGGUAUGAAAUGUUAGAAUUUUGGGGGUUAGAGUCUCAGAUAUGUCCAAAUCAUGUCCUGUCCUUUCUUGUCUCCUAGGUAACUGCUAGAGCACAUUUGAGAUUUUUUUUCCUGAAAAAUAAAUGUCUUAUAUAAGAAGCUGGCAGUUAAGAAGGCGGAACAUAUAUGUUUUUUUUUUCCAUUUUAAACAAUACAAUUUGGCCAUAGAUUAUAUAGAACAUAAAAAUUGACAGAGAAAUAUAGCUUCAAGAGAUAUAAUGUCAGUAUGCAAUAUUUUAGUGAAAGUUACUAACAUCAUUUUGAUUCAUUGCAUUUCUCUUAAUAUAAAAUUUUAUAGAGCCUGCUUUUCCACAACAUCCCUGUUAGCAGGGAUCUGUGUUGGUCUCAUUGUAGACUUUAGUCUAUAUUCAGUGUCCAGGCUCUGUCCAGUAUUGCAAAGGCAACAUAUCUAGCAAGGGUUCAUCAUCCUCUACCUAGAGAAGCUCUCACAGAGGGCAGUGAGUUUUCUCCUGAUAACAAAGGCCAAAAUGCCUUUUCUCUCUUAAUGUAAGAUUCAUCUUUAAUCCUGCGGCAUACAAGCCACUUUUGUGCCCAGUCAGCCAGUGUCUGAAAUGUCUCCAAUCUGAAUCCAGUUUACUUUUUUUCUUCUAGUUGGCUCCAGUGGGAGUUUGCAAUUUCACUUGCUUUUUGUUUUACCUUUCUGGAGUUCCCUAGGGAAGUUAGUCUAUACUAUACAAACUUUAGUAGAUGGCCAAUACAUGCAUGUAUCUUCUCUACCAAUAAUAUUGAUUUCUUUAAUAACAUUCCUACCAGUGUUAUUGGUAGAAACAUUAUUAGUGGAAAGAAUGAUAUCAAUUGAGAGUGGCUCCUAGGCUUCUGGCUAAGAAGCCUGGUGAGUGGUUUUAGUAUUUAUUGGGGAAGAUGGUGAUUUAGUGUUUUUUUUUUCAAUGGAUUUGAUUUUCUAGAGCAGUUUUAGGUUCAUAGCAAUAUUGAGCAUAAGAUAUGGAAUUUUCCCGUAUAUCUCUAGUUUCUGCACAUGCCUCACCUUCCCUCAACAUACCCCACCAGACUAGUGCAUUUGUUACGAUCCAUGAACUUACACUGACACAUCACCAUCACCCAAGGUUUAUGGUUUAUGUUAGGGUUCAGUCUUGAUUUUGUACAUGCUAUGGAUUUGGUUAUGUUUAUAAUAACAUGUGUCCACCCUUGUAGUAUCAUGCAGAGUAGUUUCACUGCUCUUAAAAUCCUCUGGGAUCCAUCUAUUCAUUCCAUGAUUUAGGUUUUGAUGUCUUGAGUUUGCCCACAGAGGACAAAUGAAGGCUUGCAAAUGGGUAAGGGCAUCUAGGUAUACAGUGUAAAAUAAGAAGAGAAGAUUGCCUGUCACUGCAUCUUGAGGAGCAACCACAGGCGGCAAAGAGAUGGACCAAGAAAGAGGCAUCUACAGCACAGUGAGAGUGGCAAAAAGAUAAGUGAAGCAAUUCUUUUAUUCAUUCAUUCAUUCAACAUAUAUUUUUGAGUCCCUACUAUGUGCUAGAGACUACUAUGUGUUAAGAGCUGAGUAUUUGGAGAGUGGCAUCACAGAAGCACAAAAUAAAGAGUGUUUUUAAAACUAGAAAAUGGUCAAGUGAUGUGUUUUGGACAUGAGGUCAUUGGUGACUUUAGAAAGAGAAGUUUCAGUGGAGUGGUGAGAGUGGGAGCCAGAUGGCAGAGGCUUGAGGAUGGAGAGAGAGGUAAGCAAG